rnacentral:rRNA from 1 species
UCGAACGGUAAGGCCCCUUCGGGGGUACACGAGUGGCGAACGGGUGAGUAACACGUGAGCAACCUGCCCUUGACUCUGGGAUAACAGUUGGAAACAGCUGCUAAUACCGGAUAUGACCCUCGAUGACAUCAUCUGGGGUGGAAAGCGCUUUAGCGGUCAAGGAUGGGCUCGCGGCCUAUCAGCUUGUUGGUGAGGUAACGGCUCACCAAGGCUUCGACGGGUAGCCGGCCUGAGAGGGCGACCGGCCACACUGGGACUGAGAUACGGCCCAGACUCCUACGGGAGGCAGCAGUGGGGAAUAUUGCACAAUGGGCGCAAGCCUGAUGCAGCAACGCCGCGUGCGGGAUGACGGCCUUCGGGUUGUAAACCGCUUUCAGUUCCGACGAAGCGCAAGCGACGGUAGGAACAGAAGAAGGACCGGCCAACUACGUGCCAGCAGCCGCGGUGAUACGUAGGGUCCGAGCGUUG